AAAGAAUUAGUUAAAUCUAACCUUAGUAUGUCAUGCUAAAAUUACUAGUUUCAAUCUAGUAUUCUUUG
rnacentral:tRNA from 1 species